CCUACGGGAGGCAGCAGUCGGGAAUAUUGGACAAUGGGCGCAAGCCUGAUCCAGCAAUACCGCGUGUGUGAAGAAGGCCUGCGGGUUGUAAAGCACUUUCAGUUGGGAAGAUAAUGACGUUACCAACAGAAGAAGCACCGGCUAACUCCGUGCCAGCAGCCGCGGUAAUACGGAGGGUGCAAGCGUUAAUCGGAAUUACUGGGCGUAAAGCGCACGUAGGCGGCUAAUUAAGUCAGAUGUGAAAUCCCCGGGCUUAACCUGGGAACUGCAUCUGAUACUGGUUGGCUAGAAUCUGGGAGAGGGGAGUAGAAUUUCCGGUGUAGCGGUGAAAUGCAUAGAGAUCGGAAGGAAUACCAGUGGCGAAGGCGGCUCCCUGGACCAAGAUUGACGCUGAGGUGCGAAAGCGUGGGUAGCAAACAGGAUUAGAUACCCUGGUAGUCCACGCCGUAAACGAUGUCAACUAGCCGUCAGGUCCGCUUUAGGAUUUGGUGGUGCAGCUAACGUAUUAAGUUGACCGCCUGGGGAGUACGCGCGCAAGCGUAAAACUCAAAGGAAUUGACGG
rnacentral:rRNA from 1 species